rnacentral:misc_RNA from 1 species
CAAAGAGAUACUAGCACCUCCUGCAAAUUAUUUUUAAAAAGUGAAACAGCGUCAAAGAAGGGUAAACAUAUCAAAACAAAUAAAUUCUUACCCGACGAGAAUAAGAAAUACUUUAACAAGCAUGUUAGAGUGUUUAACCACACCAAGGCACAUACAAUACUAGGAGCGGUGGCUUCAUUUUUUGGUAAGUAUGGCAUAGUGUAUUGUUACAAAUGUAAAGCUAUGUUUGGCAACUUCACAUGCCUCGUGCUUGGCUUAACAGUGACUGCUGGUCCCUUAAUUUACCCCAAGUUUGGUGAGCUUUAAGAGCUGACAAACAUUGUCUUUUCCUCUUUGCUAUGUUUAUACAAGACAUGAGAAAGAUGUGGCAAGGGGCUACCUCAUGGAAGGAUUCGUCGCACACCAGUGCAGCAGGAAGCAAACACUGACUACCAGGUGUAUGGGCUAAAUGUGACUAUGUCAGAUUGCCACAACAACCUAAUAGGGCUCGUAAUUCACACAUAGCACAAGGUAAAGUAUGCUGCUGGAAUUUUCAACCUUUUCUAAAGUACAUGUACAAUACUUAAACUUAGUACUAAAACCUUGCUCACUUUAAAUAUAAUGAUACCUUGAGCAGAUGGGUAGUUACCCAAAAAUAAAGUCUUGAGCCAAAAUCAUAGUGUUGACUAAAAAAGGGAUCACCCAAAUCGGCGUCAACAUAUAGGAACAGAAGAGAAUAUCGACACAGCAUAUCAGUAUGCAAUAUUACCUGGAUUCAUUAUGGGAAGGAAG